UACAAGUAGCCUGGAAAAUUUGGAAACACGUGUUUUGAUUUAUAAGAAUUUAAUUUCUGCAGAUUUAGUUCCUAUCGAACUCCAAUUUAAUCACUUAAGAAGGAUGUCUUUCAAAUUUUGGCUUUGUUUAACAAUCGUGUCUUUGGCCGUAGCGCACACAUACGUCUACACGGAUCUCUUAAGACAGACCAAAAAGUCGGGCUUGGCCAGUUAUAUGACUGACAUGUGGUAUAGCGUGACUGACGGCUGGGAACAGUUCAAGCUUCAGCUGAAAUGGAAGCUGGAAACGGGCCAAAAGUUUGCAAUACAUGUCCGGAAGACCCUGGCCGAAAUACGCGAGAAACGGGAAAAAUUGAGGGUCAAAAAAAGUUUCAAAUCUGGUUAAAAAAGAUCAACAUGCCUGUACACUAAAAUUGCCCGUAGCUGGUAUUUAACUUGUUUUUCGUUUGUGCAGAGCUAAAUAAUAUCUGCAAAAUCGAGCACCAGUGAAAAACUGUGAAAAGUGGACGCGUCUAAUUGGAAUUUUCAAUUAGGCAAUGACCAAAUGUAACUUGCCAAAAGAUAAACUUUUGUUUUUGUGUGUGUUCGUUGUUGACUUUGACCCUUUGACAGCGUGCGAAUACAAAUGCAAUAGUUCUCUUUAAUCUUAGCUGCCACAAAAAUCUCGACAGCUGCGCUCCAUUGGUGCUCAAUGAAAUUUCAUGACCAUUGGGAUCUCCAGGAACUACACUCCCGGCGUGAAUAGUUGAGCGGGGGCAAGUCGCAAACAAUGCUAAAGUUAAUUGCCCGUCCGACUUACAACCCCAGCGAGGGCAACUGGCACAACUCGAGCUCCCAGCGCAAUUUCUCUUAUAAGACGCUUGCAAAUCGCAGCAAAUUGCGCAGCAGUCGUCGGGCAAUCCUGUUGAGAAGCCAGUCAAAAAAUCAGAACAAUCUUCAAGGGGCUCGCCUGGCAUGGAAAGGGAGAAGCAGUUAGUUGCCUUCCGGCUUUCUAAUGGCAGUGCCAAUAUUUGUCAGCUGCUGACAAUUGCAGGCACUUUUGUGGGCUGCUAAUUUCUGUCGGAGCAGUCAAUUAAAUUUUCGGCAAGGACUCGGCUGAUAUCUUCAACUUUCGGGAUUAAAACGGCGCCAAAUGAAUAAAUGAUGGGGCAUGAAUGUCAAUCAGGGUUAAGCAUCGGAAAUGAAGACAAACAAUCGCUACAAAAUGAAUGGACACAAAUUGAAAUACGAGCAAAACCCCAGCACCGACGGGGCGGAUGGCACUGACAGGGCUGACGAGGCUGACGGGAGGGCGUUGCAAACUUCACUACUGAUGAGUCAUGUUGGGCCGGGGCGACAAUGCCAUUAGUGAACUCUCUGUGCGGCGCUGCGCUGCGCGGCGCGGGGUGGCAUAAAUUAUUAGCCAAAACCACGCCCACAAAUUGAUAAAGUUUUCCCUCGCCCACUAACAAUACUAAUGACAGUUGCUGCAAAAGUUUUUCGGGCAUCCGAAAUCGAUUUUAAUGGCAUCGCAAAUAACGCAAUGGAAAUAUCGUCUGUAAAUUUGGCAAGCUGAGAAAACAGUUGAGUUGUUUAUGCAGUGCCUAACCAAGGGGUGGCUAGGGCUAAAGGUGGCGAAUGGGAAUAGGCUAAACAAAGUUCGAACUGCAAAUGAAUUGAGUUUGAUGGUGAAAAUGUUGUAAAAUUUUAUAGUUAUCGCUGGCAAUUUGAUGAAAUGCGCAACUAGAUAGGCUCCCCAAAUAGAGUGCUACUACGGCAAAGUGCUGCGAGGAAGCAGCCCGACUAUGAAAUACCCAGCCUUUACCCAAUAAGGAGUAUAGAGUUGACUUUGCUGACGGAUGCUUAAUGUAUAACUUUUAAUAUAAUUUGUCUACAAGAGAAGACUAAGCUUCAA